ensembl:lncRNA
UUCAUCUGCGUCACUCGGGGGGGAGGAGGUGAAGAGGGUGGAUGGGGGGAAGGGUGUUUUUAGUUUCUUUCCUUUGUUUCUCACUUGUCUAGCUUCUUAGUAAUAGGCAAUGAAUCUUACUGUCUCCCUACUCUGAGUCUGUUUUGCCCGUCACGAUAAAUGUUGAGCAAUCUCCCCGUCCAUAGCUCAACCCUUGAGCUCUUUGUGUCAUAUUUUCUCCCUUUUCUCCUCUUUGGGGAGGGGGAGUGAGACAGCGACCAUGGUGGAACUCGGCUACCCAUCUGAGUAAAACCACCACAGUUCAGGUACGUUUCAAGCUCUGUUAUCUCCAACUAUUAACCUUUCAUAUUUUAGAGAAUAUGACAAAUUCCAGGGAUAUCUAUUGCACUCAUUGUUAACAAAAUAUGCUUAAUAUUACUUUAUUGUUGCAACCUCUGCCUCUAAUUGAUGCAGAACCCCUCAAAUCAAUGAAGCCUGCUCUCCUACUCCUGAAAGAAAAACAAAAAUAAAAAUCUACCAACCAAUAUACCCUAACUCAGCCUUGAAACAAUUAAAAAAAAAAAAGACAAAACAAACAAACAAACAACAACAGCAAAAAGGUUCAAUUGAUUUGAAAAGAAGAAAACAUUAUGCAUAUUGAAUAAAGUUAUGAUCUGCAGUCCCGGUAGCCUUUAUAGUGUUAUAUUUCUUAAUAUACUUGAAAAACUGCCUAAUUCAUAAAUUCACACUCCCAGAUUCAAGAAGGUGACCAUUUGAAGAGAUGAGACUAAAACAGAAAUCAGAGACUAAGGCUGCUGUAUCUGAGAAGUCAAUACAGACGUGUAAACUUCUCCCAAAGAGCCAUGUGCUGAAGGAUGACCAGUAACAUGAUUCUUCACUCAAGGUUUACCCUGCAGCAUCUUAUGAAGUCAUCACCCUAUCUAUCUCCAGUUGAAUGCUGCUUCAUCUUUAAGAUAAUCCUACCAGUUUACUGUUAAGAAAGCAAAACUGUUACUGAUCAUGUAUG